AAAAAAAAAUUAACAACUUCAUUUAAAUCUUUUAGCCAUUUUGUACCCUUUUCAUUAAAACCUUUGUUAAAAUCAAUCUACCAACUUGUUUAAAUUUUUUACCACGAACUACGGGGUUUUGAUCCCUCAUUUUUCUGUUGGUACGUAGGCAUAAGACCGAAGGUCUUGUCAAACACAAAAUAUAAUAAAUGAAUUCUUUU
rnacentral:lncRNA from 1 species